CAGAUCUACGGGCACAAAGGAUUCCACAUUAGACUUGAUAGAAUGCUAGGACACGUCAGAAGGCAUGCAUGCAGUGGUGCAUACUGUACAGGCAUGUCUAAGGAAAACCCAAACUGGGGCUUUCAGGGCGAAUGGUGAAGAACUCGGUCCUUCACUCGGACCGGAGGCAGAUUGGUGAUUUUAAGGAUGGGCUCUGGACUGAAAGUCCUGCAUGUAUGUGAGGCAUCAAACCAGUAUGGCCGAGUUACUGGGACUCUAUUUGUCUUUACAGGUGAUUCCCAGAGCUGCUAUGAAGAUCUUCUUGCAGUGAUUUUUGUCUUUUCUGCACUUGUUUAUUUUUUGUCAUUUAUUGUCUGCAUGCGGCAUUGAGCCUUUUCAUUGUGUUCAUCCAUCCUUGUGCUGAUUUUCCACCAUCCUGACAGCAGAGGGUGAACAGAGCAAAGGCCGGAUUUAGACAACCGCAGUUUUCACAGUUCAAUUGGUCACCCAGAGCUGUGCCACAGGCUGCCACUGGAAAUUAGAAUGACCCAGUCCUCCCAGUCUUGGCGCUUGGGUGGAAGCUCGGUGGGCGGCGCCCUGGGGUAGCGGCUGGUGCUGGGAGUUUCAUCCGUUCUCCCGCACGUCAGAGGGCAGUCCGGAGUGGAUGGGCCUGUGUGUCUGUGUCUCUGUGUGUGGGUGUCUGUGUAUGUUGUGGAGAUGUGUGUAUGGUGUAUGUGCAUGGCUGCGAGGUGUGUUUGCGGGGUGUUUGUGUGGAUGGUGGGAGCCUGGGUCUGGGGCUUGCUGCUCCGUCCUGGGUGCAGUUGAUCUCCGGGGCAUGGUUGCUGGCCCCUUUCUUCGGGGUGGGGGCUUGGGUCUCUCCGGCGUGGAUGGGGCUCUCUACUGGGGGCUGGUCGCACCCGGCCACCUGGGGUCCUAGGGGCCCUGGCCUUGGUUCGUACGGGACCGGCUGCGCCCUCGCGGGGUUGGCUACCUGUUGCCUCUGGUUCUCUGGGGCUCAUGCCCUUUUGGCUCCAGGGGCUGAGUCUGGGACCUCCCUCCUCCCCCAGCUGGGGUGGGGGCGCGGCUAUCAUUAGGACGUGGGGCCUCGGCUCUCCCAUGCUCUUUGGGGGCUGUGGACAUCCUGGGCCUCCUGGGUCUGUCUCUGCCAACCUCUGGCUCUUGUGGGGUGUGGUUGCGGCCUCCCACCUUUGCUAUUUAGUACAUUCCAUGUUGAAAACACACGCACACAACACACACACGCAACACAUGCACACAGCACAUGCACACUAGCCUGCAUCUUGCCUACACAAUUGAGCACACAUGUACACAUACUUGCUUGCACCCAUCCAAGCACACUCUAAGAUUUUAUAUGCUUGUAUAGUUGUGUUACUGUCUGCACGCUCAUGCUCAUAUGUCCCUCCUCUCCGGCCAGCUCACACACUGCAAUGUUUUUACAUGUGUUAAAAGUGAAAUAAAUAAAUAAAAUUGAAAUAAAAAGAAAUCGAUCAACAUGAGGGGCCCAUACAGAGUUUAUAGAGCCCCUCAUGGUAAAGCAAACAUGUUUGGCACAGCAGUGCAUUCAGACCGUGAUUCUGCUAAAGCUGCCAGACAGGACAAAGGGAUAAAAAAAAGAAAAAAAAUGACCCAGUCCUUAGAUAACUUUCAGUCUCUGUUGGACAAUUUUUUUUUCAUUAGCUUUUAACACAUAUUAGCUUUUAAACACUUAUAUACAAAUUCUAUGUGCCUUUAGUUCUGUGUAAAAGUGGAGCCAUGCCGUCUCGGCUCUCUGGAUACUUGUAUAUAUCGGAAAUGACAAUAAAGUUCUCUUUGACUUA